UACGGGGGAGCAAGCGUUGUUCGGAUUUACUGGGCGUAAAGGGCGCGUAGGCGGCGUGACAAGUCACUUGUGAAAUCUCCGGGCUUAACCCGGAGCGGCCAAGUGAUACGUGUCGUGCUAGAGUGCGGAAGGGGCUACUGGAAUUCUCGGUGUAGCGGUGAAAUGCGUAGAUAUCGAGAGGAACACCUGCGGCGAAGGCGGGUAGCUGGGCCGACACUGACGCUGAGGCGCGAAAGCCAGGGGAGCGAACGGG
rnacentral:rRNA from 1 species